rnacentral:rRNA from 1 species
AAACCGCUCAGAGGUAAACGGGUGGUUCCGCAAAAGUCGGCCCGCGGAACUCAGCGCGGCGCAUGGUCUGGGGCUGUCGUUUGGAGGGAUUUUUAAGCUGGACCCUCCUGCGUCGUCGCACUGGACCUUGCUGCGUGCAUUUUCCGCGGGUAGAGCGCUACGAUCGGUUUCGAUUCGGUGACGAUUAGCGCGGGCGCUUUAGCGUGGCACGGUCCUCGGACCGGGCCCCGGGCGCCCGUCUGUGAGUUACUGUGGGACCGAGGAAUGGCCCAACGCUUGGAGGCUCCUCGGCCUCGUGGGGGAUUUCGACUGGUAGGGACUGGGUUGACCGUGCCUGCCGACCGCUCCUCUGCGAUGGUCCGGGGCUGCCGAGCGAUGUCCGGGGUCAGUGGCGAGUCUGUCGGCCUACCACCCGACCCGUCUUGAAACACGGACCAAGGAGUCUAACAUGCGCGCGAGUCAUUGGGCGGUACGAAACCCAAAGGCGCAGUGAAAGCAAGGGUCACUUGUUUGGCCCAGGUGGGAUCCUUUACCCACGCAAGUGGAAAGAGGCGCACCACCGGCCCGUCUCGGCUGCGUUGUCAGCGGGGCGGUGCAAGAGCGUGCACGCUGGUACCCGAAAGAUGGUGAACUAUGCCUGAGUAGAACGAAGCCAGAGGAAACUCUGGUGGAAGUCCGUAGCGAUUCUGACGUGCAAAUCGAUCGUCAAACUCGGGUAUAGGGGCGAAAGACUAAUCGAACCAUUUAGUAGCUGGUUCCCUC